ensembl:lncRNA
UCGUCCUCUUUUCCUUUUCCCUCACAUACAUGUUCUUCUGCCCCAGGCUUUCUACCAGCUUCCUUGUCCUCAUUUGGAGUGGAAAGAGUCUGGAGAAAUCAACCUGACCAACCGGAACCUACGACUCUAGUUGUGGAUGGGGAUUCUGAAGGGCAGAGGCUCCAUACGCACACAGCUCUUCCCGCACUGGUUUCAUGCUAUCUAGAGGUUUUUGCUUGGACACGUAUUUCCAGUUCUCUUGGAUAAGUAACAACUUUCAGUUGAAAGGUGAUGCCGGCACAUGGUGAACAAAACUACUGUGGCAGAAAGAAGUGUGUUAAUACACAACUGAAAGCCAGACUCUCUCUCCCUGGUGGAGUCUCCCUCCCCAGAGAACACCGGUCUGUGUCCUUCCCAUCCUCCCAGAGAUGCUUUCUGCGCGCACUCAGGUGGAUGUGAAACCUUACCCGCAGGUGAGGGGUUAAUGUCAGAUGGAGUCUCUUGGUAGAGCUUAAAGUGCGAACAAAGGGUUAACGGCACAUCGGACCAUCAGAACGGGCCCUUUAGGGGCCUUGUUCACCCAGAGAAGCACAGCACCAAUCCUGUUAGCCCGUGCAGGGACCUUUGGCAGAGGUUUCUGGGUGGAGAUGGAACUGGGG